rnacentral:misc_RNA from 1 species
GAUGAAGAACGUAGUGAAAUGCGAUACGUAAUGUGAAUUGCAGAAUUCAGUGAAUCAUCGAGUCUUUGAACGCACAUUGCGCCCCCUGGUAUUCCGGGGGGCAUGCCUGUCCGAGCGUCAUUGCUGCCCUCAAGCACGGCUUGUGUGUUGGGCCUCCGUCCUCCUCCCGGGGGACGGGCCCGAAAGGCAGCGGCGGCACCGCGUCCGGUCCUCGAGCGUAUGGGGCUUCGUCACCCGCUCUUGUAGGCCCGGCCGGCGCUUGCCGACACAUCAAUCUUUUUUCCAGGUUGACCUCGGAUCAGGUAGGAAUACCCGCUGAACUUAAGCAUAUCAAUAAGCGGAGGA